UACGUAGGGGGCAAGCGUUAUCCGGAAUUACUGGGCGUAAAGCGUGUGCAGGCGGGUGGUCAAGUGGUGUAUGAAAUAUCCCGGCUCAACCGGGAAGGGUUAUGCCAGACUGACUAUCUAGAGGCUGAGAGAGGAGCGUGGAAUUCCGGGUGUAGUGGUGAAAUGCGUAGAGAUCCGGAGGAACCCCAGAGGCGAAGGCGGCGCUCUGGCUCAGCCCUGACGCUCAGACACGACAGCAUGGGGAGCGAACGGG
rnacentral:rRNA from 1 species